rnacentral:lncRNA from 1 species
CAAAUUGUAGCAAUUUUAUUGCAAACGAAGUGGACUUUAACAGUAACCUGAAAGACAAUUUUUUCUCUAAUACGUGACAAAUGAUCUUAUAUUAAUAUACCAAUAUACCAUUGCGUCAUAUUCUACUAUAGUAGAAAAAAGUGAAUUUCCAUGUAUACUGGUGGAAAAUUUUAUAGCGGGGGUUGGAUUCUUAAAAGUUAAAUUUCACACUUGAAAUAUCAACAAUACCCUCUUACAAAACUUCUUCUGCAAAUCAAUCUCUUGUUGUAGGAACUAUCCCUGUGGUUGUUGGUCCUCCAAAUAUUCAAGAUUUUGCUCCUUCUCCUGGUUCAUUUUUAUACAUCAAAGAACUAGAGGAUGUUGAGUCUGUUGCCAAGUCCAUGAGAUACCUAGCAGAAAACCCUGAAGCAUAUAAUCAAUCAUUGAGGUAAAAUUACAUGAUGAAAACAAACAAGUUUCUUCGGUUGCUCUUCCUUUCCUGCAUCCCUCUCGUAUUAAGUCAUUAUGUUAUUUAUUUACAUUGCACCGAAGGACUUAACACCAUAAUUGGAUCCUAGAAUAUUGCAGUAUAUAAUCUGGGCAUCUUGAGCUUAUUUGGUUUUUAAAUGUGAAUGGAUUUGCUAUGUUCUUUUUGUAUUUUGUAAUCAUGUGGAUGCAUGCUGAGUUAUCUUAUUUAUAGGUGGAAGUAUGAAGGGCCAUCUGAUUCCUUCAAGGCCCUUGUGGAUAUGGCAGCUGUACAUUCAUCUUGCCGCCUUUGCAUUCACUUGGCCUCAAAGAGUAGAGAGAAGGAAGAGAAGAGCCCAGACUUCAAGAAGCGACCUUGCAAGUGCACUCGAGGGUCAGAAACUGUAUAUCAUAUCUAUGUGAGAGAAAGGGGAACAUUUGAGAUGGAGUCCAUUUACUUGAGGUAUACUUAUUAUUUUGAUCAAUAAAUUUGUAUACUUCUUAUCUUGAUCAAUAAAUUUGUCAUUAAACUUGAUGGCGUCUCUUGGUUUGUUUGGCAAUCAUAUGCCUAAGAAAUAAAUAGUAUCAUAUGAUUGUGUUUGGUCAGACUUCAGAGUCAGAUGACCCUGUUUGGAUAAACAGCUUAAUUAAGUGCUUAUAGAAUAAUCGCUUAUCAUAUAAGUGCUUUUGUACAGUUAUUCCUAUAAAAGUAUAAAAAAUAGUCAUAUUGUUUUAAUAUAAGCUAGAUCUCCCUAACAGUCUCAAAAAGUGUUUAUGCCAGUAGAUAAAUUGAAAUAAGUCGAUCUAAACAGACCCUAAAUCCAUUAUGGUACCUAUCAUUUUAGCUUAUUCCUUCUUUAUUAAGAAUGUGAUGAGAUAACAUAAUGAUAACUCAUUAUUUUGACACAAAUGGGCAGAUCUAGCAAUUUAACUCUGGAGUCCUUCAAGACUGCUGUUCUUACGAAGUUCACGUCCCUGAAUCAUGUUCCUGUAUGGAAGCCUGAAAGACCUGAAAUUCUAAAAGGUGGUGAUGAAUUGAAGGUUUACAAAAUAUACCCUGCGGGCUUGACACAGAGGCAAGCUCUUUAUACCUUCAAGUUCAACGGGGAUGUUGAUUUCAGAAGUCACUUGGAAAGCAAUCCUUGUGCCAAGUUUGAAGUCAUUUUUGUGUAGCAUAUGUUGCGCUACCUACAAUUUACAUGAUCGCUUAGCAAUAGCUCUUUCAAUUAACCGAGAGAAU